GAUUGAGGAAAACAUUCAUCACAAACAAACAACCUCAGCCAACUCUUCAAGUCCGACUUCAGCUCAGUGUCAAUUAAGGGAGAGGAGCAGCUGGUGCCACCUUCAACAUCAACACCUGCCUGAAAGGACAUGGAGGCAGCAGCCAGCAUGAAGCCUCUGGGAAGGAGUACAGGGCUGGAAGGGAGAAUUUGAGGAGCAUAUUGGGAGUAGCAUGCCAAGUGUCAUAUCUCAUUAACCAAGUGAGCCUGUAUGCCAGAGAAACUUCACUGAGUCAAAAGAACGGAUGGAGCACUAUUAAUGAAGUCACUGGAUCUCAAAAUCUUCUCUACCACCCUCAAGGAAAACACUGGGGGAUUUUUGGCAAUUUUGAUACACAAGCAUGCUGUCAAAAUGCAUAUUGCUGUGACCUGAAGUGGCUUUUUUAUCCUAAAUGACCUGCCUCCACAGAUUUGAUGAAUUCAAGUUCCAGGGCUGUCAGCUGUAAAACAUGCCGGUGCCAAAGGAAAGAAGGCAGGGACUGGAAGAGCACCAUCAUAUCCUCAGUGUAUCCUAGGCUACAUUCCAGGAUCGCUUGUGCUGCUGUUGAAGAUUUUGGUUGAUUUCAGAUUAGAGCCACGUGAGUUUCUUAAUUACAUCUGGACUUUAGGAAAGUCAAUUUUUUUUAAUCUCAGAGUAGUACGAGUGAAUCUCACAUCACAGUUUUAAAUGUGCCUUCCACUCAGGUUGCAUCUAAACUGUGCCAAAAUCAAUGUGACUGGUACUUCACCUCAGACCCACCACAUAAGAUAAACAAGACUGGAUUUUGAAACUGGAUGACCUGACUGAUUGCACAGGAUAUUUUUUAGUUUUGAAAUGUCUUUGGCUGCAGGGACUUGUUUGUCCUGUGUUAGAAACUUUCAGAGAAAACCUGGACCUCAGGGAAAAUGGCAAGAAACCAAAAACUGAAGCCAAUAUAUAAAGGCAUGCCAAAAUUCUUGCCAGCAAGGUUUUUAUAGCUGCAUUUAAAAAC